rnacentral:rRNA from 1 species
AGAGUUUGAUCCUGGCUCAGAUUGAACGCUGGCGGCAUGCUUUACACAUGCAAGUCGAACGGCAGCGCGGACUUCGGUCUGGCGGCGAGUGGCGAACGGGUGAGUAAUAUAUCGGAACGUACCCAAGAGUGGGGGAUAACGUAGCGAAAGUUACGCUAAUACCGCAUACGAUCUAAGGAUGAAAGCAGGGGAUCGCAAGACCUUGUGCUCCUGGAGCGGCCGAUAUCUGAUUAGCUAGUUGGUGGGGUAAAGGCCCACCAAGGCAACGAUCAGUAGCUGGUCUGAGAGGACGACCAGCCACACUGGAACUGAGACACGGUCCAGACUCCUACGGGAGGCAGCAGUGGGGAAUUUUGGACAAUGGGCGCAAGCCAGAUCCAGCAAUGCCGCGUGAGUGAAGAAGGCCUUCGGGUUGUAAAGCUCUUUUGUCAGGGAAGAAAAGGUUGCGGCUAAUAUCCGCAACUGCUGACGGUACCUGAAGAAUAAGCACCGGCUAACUACGUGCCAGCAGCCGCGGUAAUACGUAGGGUGCAAGCGUUAAUCGGAAUUACUGGGCGUAAAGCGUGCGCAGGCGGUUUCGUAAGUCUGUCGUGAAAUCCCCGGGCUCAACCUGGGAAUGGCGAUGGAGACUGCGAGGCUAGAGUUUGGCAGAGGGGGGUAGAAUUCCACGUGUAGCAGUGAAAUGCGUAGAGAUGUGGAGGAACACCGAUGGCGAAGGCAGCCCCCUGGGUCAAAACUGACGCUCAUGCACGAAAGCGUGGGGAGCAAACAGGAUUAGAUACCCUGGUAGUCCACGCCCUAAACGAUGUCUACUAGUUGUUGGGUCUUAAUUGACUUAGUAACGCAGCUAACGCGUGAAGUAGACCGCCUGGGGAGUACGGUCGCAAGAUUAAAACUCAAAGGAAUUGACGG